UCUAGUCGGCGCUGUUGCUACUAGCGUGAACUCGUUCGUUAGUUCAUUCGUCGCUGACUCGCGAGCUCGUACACCGUCAACAAAGUGCGUCAUGUUUUCACAUCAUAAAUGCUUACCCUAACCGCGACUUUCGAAAACUGCGUGGCACAACGCUCCGCAGUAGCAAUAGCGCCGGUUAGAGUCACAGAAUUUGGUGUUACACCUGGUCUGUGUGAAGGAAGAAAGUCAUGAAAUCAGAUUAGCUUAAUUCUUUAAUUAACAAAAGUAUUCAGUAAUGUCACGAUAAGUCGGAGUACAGCUGCCUGACCUCAAGACAGCAGUCUAGUUAGCGUUAGCUAGUUUUUCGGCGUUGCUAAUGCCAAUUAGCUUGUGCUUUUGUGAGAAACCAAAGCAGCCAGAAACCAGCACGUCUCCAUUAUUAAGUGUGAAGUUUACCACCUGAGGUCAGAUGGAGCUGAGCACCAAGGUGGCGAACGUAGCUUUAAAGAGGAGAGGUGAAGAGGCAUGUUUGCACAAGUCCUUUUGGCCAGACACUGCUCCCUCUUGCUGUUAGACCUGAGUGCUGCACCGGAACAACUGAACUCACAGCGGUCAG